rnacentral:rRNA from 1 species
GACAGCCAGGAUGUUGGCUUAGAAGCAGCCAUCAUUUAAAGAAAGCGUAAUAGCUCACUGGUCGAGUCGGCCUGCGCGGAAGAUGUAACGGGGCUAAACCAUGCACCGAAGCUGCGGCAGCGACACUCAGGUGUUGUUGGGUAGGGGAGCGUUCUGUAAGCCUGCGAAGGUGGCCUGUGAGGGUUGCUGGAGGUAUCAGAAGUGCGAAUGCUGACAUAAGUAACGAUAAAGCGGGUGAAAAGCCCGCUCGCCGGAAG